GACGAACGCUGGCGGCGUGCUUAACACAUGCAAGUCGAACGGAAAGGCCCUGCGUGUGUGGGGUUCUCGAGUGGCGAACGGGUGAGUAACACGUGAGUAACCUGCCCUUGACUUUGGGAUAACUUCAGGAAACUGGGGCUAAUACCGGAUAGGAGCUCCUGCUGCAUGGUGGGGGUUGGAAAGUUUCGGCGGUUGGGGAUGGACUCGCGGCUUAUCAGCUUGUUGGUGGGGGAGUGGCUUACCAAGGCUUUGACGGGUAGCCGGCCCGAGAGGGUGACCGGCGACAUUGGGACUGCGAGACGGACCAGAGUCGUACGGGAGGCAGCAGUGGGGAAUAUUGCACAAUGGGCGGAAGCCUGAUGCAGCAACGCCGCGUGCGGGAUGACGGCCUUCGGGUUGUAAACCGCUUUCGCUUGUGACGAAGCGUGAGUGACGGUAAUGGGUAAAGAAGCACCGGCUAACUACGUG
rnacentral:rRNA from 1 species